GUGGUGGUUCAGUGGGAGAGUGCUCGCCUAGCAUGCAUGAGGCACUGGGUUCAAUCCUCGGCACCACA
rnacentral:tRNA from 1 species